rnacentral:lncRNA from 1 species
UUGAAGAAUCUAGAGUCAAGCUCUGAAAUUAUUCACUUCCUGCUCGUCUUCUUCAGUUAUGUAUAUGGAGAAUUGGUUGAGGAAUGAGGAUGAUGUGGUUUCUUGAUCGAUUUCAAGGUUUUUAGGAAGCUCAAGAUGGACUUUCGGAUGUUAUGCUUUAGAUGUUGUUUUAAUGUUUUGGUCGUGUUUGAUAGUUUUUUUUAUGUUUUAGGUUGUUUGAAAUUUGAUCAUAUAGAUUUAUUUCUAGUUUAGCUCAUCGUCAGGGACUUGUUAGGUGCCAAUUGUUACACCAUAGCUAAUGGUUUGG